ACACAUAACUCUACAAGCUAAAAUUUAAAUGCUUAAUUCAAAAUUUUAACUUAAGUGAAUUCCAAAAAUCUCUAUUUCAGCUCAGAAAGUCUGUGGGCAAAGCCAAACUAAAAGCAAGGAUUGUGACAGUCACCAUGCUAGAAAGCAAUUACAAGGAAAAAUUUAAAAAAACCACACAAGCACUACUCCUAGAUAUGACGGUAGUAGAGACAAGGGAACAGGAAAGAAUAAAACCCCAAUACAAACCAAGUCCCAGGAGCAUUCCAGGAAUGUUUGCUUUUACUGUAAGAGCAAAAUACAUUAGAGGAGAGAUUGUCCUAAGAGGGUAAAAGAUCUGAAAAUCUUCCCUGAGAUGGGCACAAAAGAGGAAUAGAGAAGUCAUAAGCUCUAUAUUUUAGGGGACAAAUACCAUCUGGAGCCAGUGGUAAUGUUAAAAGUGGGUGCCCAAGAAGAAGAAUUAGAAGUUGCAGUAGACAUAGGGGCAGAAAGAACCUGUUUCUUUAAUAUUCCAAAAGGUUAUAGUGUGAGCAAAGAUACUGUAAAAUAACAGGAGCAAAAGGAGAGAGUUUCACAGUUCCUGUCAUUAAAAAUAUGGUAAUUGAGGGAGAAACUAGAUUUUGGAUAGGGGAUGUUUUAUUGGUCCCAGGGGCAGGUAGCAACUUAUUGGGACAAAAUUUGCAAUUGAAAUUAGGAAUAGGGGUUAUCCCAGAAGAUGGGAACAUGACAGCUGGAGUUUUAAAAUUAGGUCAAGAGGAUGAAAAAAGAAAUUAAUGAGGAAGUUUGGGCUAGGGAAGAAAAUAGUGGAGGAUGCUUCAUACUGAACAGAUGUCUUCAUUGAGCUGUUGAUUCAGCUAAUUUGUAACUCUCUGUACUCUAAGACUGAAAAACUAGUUUACAGCUGUGACAUAGCAAAACCUGCUUUUAAUUUAUUUUGAGUCGAGGCAGGCUGUUCAAUCAAAUGGUUCUCAGUGUGCAAAGUUAAACUAAAGGUAACACCAGCUGCUUGGUAGGUCAAUGAGAAACAUUUUUCCUUCCAACCAGUCCAUUUCAUGUAACAAAUGUGUUUUGCUUUCUUGGUUUUUGUUUUGUUUGUUUGUUUGUUUUUCUGGAAGUGCUGACUAUUUGCAGUGCACCUGGAACAGCAGCGAGAGUUGCGCAUGCAUAGCACUUCUGAAAAAUAGGGCUCAUUUUUUUUCCCAAAAUGGGAGGUGGCUACAUAUAUAAAAGAGAACCUACAAAGCUAGAUGAAGAAAAGGUUUCAGUAUCUUCUAAUGUAAGCUGUUAAUUUGUUACCUUCAGCAUCACUGUGGGUGUGUGACACACACACUUGAAAAAGAUGGUGGGGGGGAUCUCUGCUUGCUAUAGUUUUAUUUCUUGAAUGAGUUGGAGAGCUGUGAGGAAGUCGUGGGUUCCUUGUGUGGUUUAUCCAGGCCUGCAGGAAGGGCUUGGCCAUAAUUCCGUCUGUGCUGCACGUAGCCCUGAAGUGUAGCAGCAGUGGCUUGCCUCUGGUGAGUUUGCAGGCAAGGUGCUUCACCACUGCAAUGCUCAGGUGCUGUUUCCUAUUGUGGCAUUAGAGCUUGAAUUCAGGAGUGCAUCUUCCCAUCCAGUUAUUGUUGGCACCACAGUAGCCUCUUUGGACAGUGAUUUCUGGCAGACAAAAGAAAGUAUUGCAGAGAGAAAUUCCUUACUUGCUGUCGUCCCGCCCCCCCCCCCCCACUGUAUUCAUAUUUUGUCCAUUCCCUCUUCAAAAUACAGAUUUGUAAAACUCAUGCUCUGUGUCCUCAGAUGCCCUUCCCAAAUCAAACCUUGGCUUCGUUGCAAAUUGCAUUGCACUAACAAGCAUUGCUUUGCAUUGCACUAACAAGCAUUGCAUUAAAUUUUUUGGUGCAGGCAGGGUCACUUUGGAAGUAAGUUGUUGUUUACCUUGUUCCUACAACCUUUUCGAGCUUGUGAAUAGAAAAAAAAAUUGUGAUAGCAAAGCAAGUCUUUAGUUUUAGCACUGUGUCAGAUGUGAGUGGCUGGUGGCCUUGGUGGAGGGUGCUGUGAAUCACACACCUGCAUAACACACAUAACAAAAGUAAUUUAAUUUGUAAAGCAGUUGAAAAAGGGGUGGAGGGGUGAUUGGCAGACUCACCGCUCCAGGAUGUUGGAAUGUAGACUAAUGUUAGGAAGUGGACUGAUGUUGGAAUGUGGAUGUUGAAAUGUGAAGAGAGAAAAAGAGAGAGAAAGAGAGAGAAAGGGAGAGAGAGAGACAGAGAGAGACAGCAAAGGGGAGAGCAAAAUAAGUCCCCAAGGUCCCCACGCCCCCCGUGGCUAUCUGUAAGUUCUCCCCCCAUUCCUGCUAGGUAAAGUGACAAGGGGGGGGCGGGGGGGGGGGGGGGGGGAGGCACAGAGUUAAACACAAGGCUGUAAAAAAGAGGGAGAGAGGGGCCACCGCUAGAGAUAAGAUCAAGGCAGAUAUAGCUGACCCUCAUAAAGUGAUUUAUUUUUUUUAAGCAAGAUUUCUUUUUUCUUUCUGUUUUUUUUUGUUGUUAAGAAGAGAAGGCUUUUGUUCUGAAGAAUGGGUCUGUAAGACUAAAACAGUUAGAUGUUGCCCAAAAGGUAAAAAGCAAGAGAUGUGAUACAUCUCGUGUUAAAAUUGGCCUGGUCUUUUUUAUUAUUUAACUAAUUAUAGCUCAUGAGAAGAAGAAUUUGCCUCUGCAGCUAUUAACACAGCUGGAUACAAGAAGAGGCGGCUGUAGAAAAAGCUUUUAGUUAAACCCAGAAAGUUUUGAAGAAAACUAAUGGUAAAAGUUAAUGCAGUAUUGUCUUUCUUUUAACACUGUGUUAUUAAGAAGUCCUUUCCAGAUACUACUAAAGCAGCAAUCCGAACCACAGAAAGAGGGUGAAUUCGUGCCAGCAAAAUCAAAGGACUUGUGAAGAAACUUGAGGAAUGGAUUAUCACAUCUAAACAGGGUGAUACCAAAGUGACUUUCAGCUGGGACUGGGUGGUAACGGUUUGGGAAGACCCAAAUGAACCAAAGAAGGUACAAAGAAUAACACCUAACUGAGAAAUAAAGCAAAGCUUACAUCAGUGGUUUCAAGCACUGCUUAAAUAAGCCCUGAGAUGCCUCCAAUACCUCCUUGGAAGAGGAAUACUGCCACUUCAAACAGGACGAUCAAGACUAUUUUAAUCAAAGAGUUCUUAUAUUCUGGUCUUAGCCUGUGACUCGUACAGGGAAGAAGGGAAAUUACCAUUAGUACUAUACUGUAUACUUUAUUUGAUUUAUCCCAAUUCUGGACACGCUAGCUGGGUUAUAGGUAAAUGUUCAAAUUAUGGGAAUAACUGGUGUUGUAGCUCACAAAAUCUAAGCUCUCAUUGCAAGAAGUAUUGAGUACUGAAUCUAUACCCUAUACAGAUAGAACUCAAAACAACUGAAGUAAUAACUUUAUUUUGUGGAUGGGAAUUAUUAGUGCCUGUUGACCAAGAGAUACCUGAGGAACGGUGGGAAACCACAGUUAAGGAGUGUCGAAAAGAACUUGCCAAAAAAAAAAAAAAAUUGUAAAAAAGGAGUGACAAGGGAAACAGAGGGCAAGCCUGGAUUGACCACUGAACUCGCCAUCGAGACUACACAUACCUGCUAUGGGAAGCAACUACAUAGGCAGGGGAGGUGGUGGUAUAAGCCAUACCAGACCUCUGUUAUUCCUGUUUCUGUCACUCAUUUGUUGUCUUUUACCUUUCGGGAUACCAGCAUGAUCGUGUCACAAAUGCUACAGAAAGCAUUACAUGGAAAGAAACCAAAGUUCCUUUUUUGUUACACACACCCAUGUCAACAGCCACUGUUAUAACCCAUCCAAAUUAAGUACCUGCAGCCAAAAUGUGGAAAAACAUUGGAUUAAAAGGAACUCAGGAAAAAGUGGUAAUAGAUGGGGCAUUGAAUGUCCAAAAGGAGAGAGAUGGAUUUGUUUUACAUUUGAUCUCAGAGAUAUAGUCCAAGACUUGGCAAAAAGGCAAUUAGUAAGCAAAAAGGUAAAACAAGCACAACAGGCUUGCUCUGUAUUGACCCCAAAUUACAUACUGAAUUGUAUUAUAGGACUCCAAGCAGUCAUAGAGAAGAUAACUGUUUUGGUUUUAAAAGACAAGACUCUGUGAAGGAAGGAAUGAGAUACUUGCUUCGAUAUAACAAUCACAGAACACCUAAAUCUUCCAGAGAAGAGGAAUUUAUGGUUUUCUUAUCAGAAGAAGCUAAUUUCUUCAGGCCUUGCUCAGACUCUAAGACGCCGUGGGGAUUAGAAGAAGGAGUUGACAUAUUCCAGACAGAGUUUCUUAUUUUAAAUAGAAUGUUUGCAUAACCUUGAAGUAUGUAUGAAUAUGCAACAGCGUAUGGUUUUUAAGGGUUAUUCCUUUGUUGACAAAACAUGCCUGUCGUGGCUUCAUUGCCUGAGAGCAUCCGGACGUCCAUAAUUCUUUGCUUUUUAUUGUCUUGAAAUUGUCCUAACUCUAAAUUGUAUUACUUUAUUGUUAAAGUUUUAAAAUUUUAAAAACCAAGUGACUGGCGUUUUUCACACUGAGCUUGCCGGAUUGGCUUCUGUUGUUGCUCUGCUGUCGGGAAGCCCAGGGCCAGUGCAUGUCCCAUCAGGACCUGGGACCGCCCUCAUUUCCCGCCGCGGGGCUGCCCCCCACCCUCUGCACAGCCUGGCCCCAGGGACCAGCCAGCGCCAGUGAGAAAUCCUGGGGAGUCUCUCUCUCUGAUGUGUUUGGGAGACAGGCUGCUGCCUGUCCAUCCCCUGCCGUGCCUCUACUGUUGCUCCGGGUUUUUUUGCUGCACUGUAGCUGUUUCACCCCUGCCUGUUGGGCAGUCCAGCUACAGCUGCAGUUUCUGCUGCCUCUUGCUUGCUGCCCCGGGGGAAUCUGCCCUGCUGUUCUGCCUUAGCUGCUUCUGAGGUUUCCUGCUACAGUCACUUUUGCUAUCCAGAGGGGCACCAGGAUUGGCUGCCCCUGUGAGAUGUAAAGGAAGCCCCUUCUCCAUUCCUUCUCAGCCAGCUGUAUCUGCCAUUGUCCACGUGGAGAAAGACGGCCAAACUCUCGCCACAGCGGCCCCUGCAGCCGCGGGAAAAUCAUCGCACCUGCCCUGCCUGACUGGGCAGCCACCAGCGCCCCUGGCAGCUGCAACCGUAACUACACCAAAGGGGAAAGUACCUGCAGCCAAGAGAAGGCUAUUACUGGGUUUCUGGGGGGGAAGGGGGGGGGGUAAGGUUCAACAAUUUCAAUAUCUAGCAUUUAUUCAAUUUUUUAAAAAAUGCUAAUAAACAUGGCUUUUUCACUUAUA